GAACAGAUAGGUUUUGUCCUGGCCUUUUUAUUAGCUCUUAGUAAGAUUAAACAUGCAAGCUUCCCUGCCCCAGUGAAAAUCCCCUCUAGAUCACCGGGUCAAAAGGAGCAGGUAUCAAGCACGCACGAAUGCAGCUCAAAACACUUUGUUAACCACACCCCCACCGGAAACAGCGGUGAUAAAUCUUUAGUAAUAAAUGAAAGUUUGACUAAGCUAUACUAAUGUUAAGCGUUGGUUAAUUUCGUGCCAGCCACCGCGGCCAUACGAUUAACCCGAGCUAAUAGGACUCGGCAUAAAGAGUGUUUAAGGUCUACCCUCAAUAAAGCUAAACCCCAUCUAAGUUGUAAAAAACUCAGCUGAAAUAAAAUAUACUACGAAAGUGGCUUUAAUACCCUGAAGACACAAUAGCUAAGAUGCAAACAUUAGUUACCCCACUAUGCCUAGCCAUAAACUCUAAUAGUUACAUUAACAAAAACAGUCGCCAGAGUACUACAACAGCUUAAAAUUCAAAGAACUUGGUGGUGCUUUAUAUCCCUCUAGAGGAGCCUGUUCUAUAACUGAUAAACCCCAAUACACCUCACCACCUGUUGCCCUCCAGCCUUAUACUGACUGCUAUCUUCAGCAAACCCUUAAAAGGCUAUAGAGUAAGCACAAGUACGCACAUAAAAACAUUAGGUCAAAGUGUAGCCCAUAAGGUGGCAAGAAAUGGGCUAUAUUUUGUAUGUCCAGAAAAUCUCAUGACAAUUCUUAUGAAAUCUAAGGACUCAAGGAGGAUUUAGCCAUAAACCAAGAGCAGAGCACUUGGUUAAAUAAGGCCGUGAAGUACGCACACACCGCCCAUCACCCUCCUCAAAUAUUACUGUAGAAAUCACUAUUACUAAUAACUUUCUACAUGCAUACAGAAGAGAUAAGUUGUAACAUGGUAAGCAUACUGGAAAGUGUGCUUGGACAAACCAAAAU
rnacentral:ncRNA from 2 species